rnacentral:rRNA from 1 species
CUGAUUGAGAUUUUAACACGAAGUGAGUGGCGAACGGGUGAGUAACACGUGGGUAACCUGCCCAGAAGUAGGGGAUAACACCUGGAAACAGAUGCUAAUACCGUAUAACAGAGAAAACCGCAUGGUUUUCUUUUGAAAGAUGGCUCUGCUAUCACUUCUGGAUGGACCCGCGGCGUAUUAGCUAGUUGGUGAGGUAAAGGCUCACCAAGGCAGUGAUACGUAGCCGACCUGAGAGGGUAAUCGGCCACAUUGGGACUGAGACACGGCCCAGACUCCUACGGGAGGCAGCAGUAGGGAAUCUUCCACAAUGGACGCAAGUCUGAUGGAGCAACGCCGCGUGAGUGAAGAAGGGUUUCGGCUCGUAAAGCUCUGUUGUUAAAGAAGAACGUGGGUAAGAGUAACUGUUUACCCAGUGACGGUAUUUAACCAGAAAGCCACGGCUAACUACGUGCCAGCAGCCGCGGUAAUACGUAGGUGGCAAGCGUUAUCCGGAUUUAUUGGGCGUAAAGCGAGCGCAGGCGGUCUUUUAAGUCUAAUGUGAAAGCCUUCGGCUCAACCGAAGAAGUGCAUUGGAAACUGGGAGACUUGAGUGCAGAAGAGGACAGUGGAACUCCAUGUGUAGCGGUGAAAUGCGUAGAUAUAUGGAAGAACACCAGUGGCGAAGGCGGCUGUCUGGUCUGCAACUGACGCUGAGGCUCGAAAGCAUGGGUAGCGAACAGGAUUAGAUACCCUGGUAGUCCAUGCCGUAAACGAUGAUUACUAAGUGUUGGAGGGUUUCCGCCCUUCAGUGCUGCAGCUAACGCAUUAAGUAAUCCGCCUGGGGAGUACGACCGCAAGGUUGAAACUCAAAAGAAUUGACGGGGGCCCGCACAAGCGGUGGAGCAUGUGGUUUAAUUCGAAGCUACGCGAAGAACCUUACCAGGUCUUGACAUCUUCUGACAGUCUAAGAGAUUAGAGGUUCCCUUCGGGGACAGAAUGACAGGUGGUGCAUGGUUGUCGUCAGCUCGUGUCGUGAGAUGUUGGGUUAAGUCCCGCAACGAGCGCAACCCUUAUUACUAGUUGCCAGCAUUAAGUUGGGCACUCUAGUGAGACUGCCGGUGACAAACCGGAGGAAGGUGGGGACGACGUCAAAUCAUCAUGCCCCUUAUGACCUGGGCUACACACGUGCUACAAUGGAUGGUACAACGAGUCGCGAGACCGCGAGGUUAAGCUAAUCUCUUAAAACCAUUCUCAGUUCGGACUGUAGGCUGCAACUCGCCUACACGAAGUCGGAAUCGCUAGUAAUCGCGGAUCAGCAUGCCGCGGUGAAUACGUUCCCGGGCCUUGUACACACCGCCCGUCACACCAUGAGAGUUUGUAACA